CAACAAACACCCGGUGGCUCAGUCAGGCUCAGUCACCCCAUUCCUCCCGCCGCCGUCUCGGCUCCGCCGCCUCCUCUCCGAGCGCCGCCUUCCACCCCACCAAGCCGGGGCCCAUGGCGUUCGCCGCGCGGAGGAGCCUCGCCUCCCGCUUCUCCCACCACCUCACCCGCCGCUUCCACCCAUCCGUCCCGCAUCUGCUCACCCGCUCCAACGACGAUGAACCCCCGAGCCCCUCAUCUCAGCCACAGCCACUCCCGUCAUUCCGCUCCCCGCUCCCGCCCGCUUCCAGAGCAGCCCAAACCCUACACCACUUCCUCCCCUUCUCUCUCCACCACUCGGGGCUACCUCGCCGCGGCUUCUCCUCCUCCGCCCCCGCUCCGGACCCACCCGGAGAGGUUGAUGCUGCCGCGAGCGUCCUUGUCGACGCCGCGGAGGCGGUGGCUUCGUCGGUGCCGGCGCCGUUCCCGGGGGAGGUGGCAGCCGCCGCCGCCGACUCCUUCUUCCCCGUCGCCGCGCUGCAGUACCUCAUUGACUACGUACAUACCUUCACCGGUCUCAACUGGUGGGCUUGUAUCGCGUUAACGACGGUGCUGAUCCGGACCGCGACGAUACCAGUGCUGGUUAGCCAGCUGAAGUCCACCCAAAAGCUAAAUGCAAUAAAACCAGAGAUGGAAGCCGUUAAGGAUGCAAUGGAUAGUACGGAUCCAAAAACAGCGUUAGAGGGGAAGUAUAAAAUGACCGCACUCUUUCAAAAGCAUGGUGUUAGUCCAUUUAGUCCACUAAAAGGAAUGCUAAUCCAAGGUCCAAUGUUCAUGAGCUUUUUCUUUGCUAUAAAUAACAUGGUUGAGAAAGUCCCUUCAAUGAAAGGAGGAGGAGUAUUUUGGUUUACUGAUCUGACAACCCCGGAUCCUCUUUACAUCUGUCCUGUGUUAGCAGCACUGACCUUCUUGGCCACAGUGGAGCUUAACCUGCAGGAAGGGAUGGAGGGCAAUUCUAUGGCCGAUAAAAUGAAGACAUUUUCUAGAGGAAUGGCACUCAUGACAGUCCCGUUCACAAUGAAUUUUGCCAAGGGAAUUUUCUGUUACUGGGUCACGUCGAACUUGUUCUCCCUCGUAUAUGGUAUUGUUAUGCGUCGACCCGCUGUGAGGAAGUUGUUUAAUCUUCCUGCUUGGGAAGCUCCGUCUGCACCCGCACUGAAUUCAGCCUUGAAUAUGUUUGGUGGAUCCAAGGCAGUACCUUCAGCAAGGUCACCUUUAGCACUCACGGCAGCCCAGCAAUCUUCUUUGGAGAAACCUGAUGCUGCCGCUCUUGGGUAUCGGGUAAAAAAUCUUGAAAAGAAGGGGAAAUCUAGAGGCAAAUCUCGGAAGCGCAGGUAAACCAUGCGGCACAUAGGAGCUUAAUGAGAGAAAAAAAAGUCAUUUUGACCUCGUGGACGGUUGAGACUUGAUUUGUCCUGACAUGGUGCUAAGAUUUGAUUUUGCACAAGGAGGCCGCCAUUGAUUCUAAAUCACAUUGUGGGGUUGCUGUGGCCUUCUUCAGUGAAUAAGAGCGAUUUUGAUAUCAGUUUAUACACAAAUGUAAUUUGAGCAAGUUGCAACAAUUAAUCUUGGUGUUCAUCUUCCGUAAAUAGAGAUUAACCAGUUCCUCUGGAGUUUUAGAGAGCCUGGGUGACAAAAUGGGGUAAACUAUGAUGAUCGGGAAAAUUAGAUCAUACAGGUGCUUGG
rnacentral:rRNA from 1 species